UGCAUCCCUGUGCUGGGCCAACCGAAACCAAGCGGCGCUGGGAGCUGGCUGAUGGCUUAGGCCCAAGAUGUGACACAAACUCGGAGGCGGAGAGGUCCUGGUGACUGUUUUUGGUGGAUGCAGAUGAUUUGCCAUCACGUUUCCACGCACCAAGACUGACGAGCACAGCCAUGGCAGAGGAGAGCUGAACAGGAAAUUCUGGCUUCAUUGACAACAAUGGCAGAAAUUUGCGCUUUCUGGAGUGCAAGAGUUCUUCUCUACCACUGCAUAAAACUGCCCAAAGGGAAUCACGAAUACUUCAGCAUUUCAGAGCUACUUCUGGAAAUGACUUGACUAGGAACUCACAGGUGUUGUGCACAUUCUUGUGCAUUGCUUCAACAUGCAAAUUGCUUUGGUAUCAUAGUCUUAUACUGAAGGUAAUACUGUCUCAGUCUGUGUGUACAUCUUCCUGCUUAUGAGCAAAACUACUCAUUAAUAUUGAUAGAAGAAUGCAUUAAAAGAUUCAUAUUGUAGAAGAAAUGCAAACACUGCAAGCUGAGGGAGAAAGACACCAAUACCUUUUUUUUUUUCCCCUUUUUUCUUUUUUCUUUUUUACCUAAGUGAAAAGUGAGGAUCCGUAGCAUUUUGGAAUUCAGCAACGAACAACUUUGCACAUCAGAACAUCAGCACACUUCUUAGAGUUGAUGUUAGCUGAGUCACUUGCUACUUUCAACUGUAACUCCCUCAUAGAGAAGGUAUAUUAGAAAAAUCAAUAGGGAAAUCAAUAUGUUUUAUCCAAGAUAUCGGAUGUGCCCCAGAUGCUUACAUUGCUAAAUAGUAUUUGAUUCAAAUAAAAUAUAUCUUGCACCCUUUGUAUUAAAGUGGGAGUUGACAUGUAUUUCUCUUGUCUCCCUUCUCCAUUCCCGGUUGAGUAGCAUUUGCACUCUGGCACCAAUUUGUGUGGAAUUUCAAUGUGUUUUGGAAAUAAAAUUGAUUAGCACUUUCUUUCCUGAAGAACCAUCUUAACAUCAUCCCUACAAUUAUAGGAAAUUAAGUUGAAUAAAAAUACUUUUUAGUUUUAUUUCCCAAAUAAAGAAAUAAUGCAGUAUAAUGAAGGGCUGUGCAGGAGAGCUCUAGGACUACUUUACAAAAAGCAACAGUCAGUGAAGUGGAAAAAUGAGG
ensembl:lncRNA